rnacentral:rRNA from 1 species
AGCUCCAAUAGCGUAUAUUAAAGUUGUUGCAGUUAAAAAGCUCGUAGUUGGAUUUGGGACGGGGGUCGCGCGGUCGGCCGCAAGGUCUGCUACUGUGCGGCCUCGUCAUUUACACUCUCGGAGACCCGUCGUGCACUUCGCUGUGCGCGGCGCGGGACUCGGGACGUUUACUUUGAAAAAAUUAGAGUGCUCAAAGCAGGCCACUGCCUGAAUAGUCGUGCAUGGAAUGAUGGAAUAGGACCUUGGUUCUAUUUUGUUGGUUUCCGGAACUCGAGGUAAUGAUUAAUAGGGACGGACGGGGGCAUUUGUAUUGCGACGUUAGAGGUGAAAUUCUUAGAUCGUCGCAAGACAAACUACUGCGAAAGCAUUUGCCAAGAAUGUUUUCAUUAAUCAAGAACGA